UACGUAGGGUGCAAGCGUUAAUCGGAAUUACUGGGCGUAAAGCGUGCGCAGGCGGUUGUGCAAGACAGAUGUGAAAUCCCCGGGCUCAACCUGGGAACUGCAUUUGUGACUGCACGGCUGGAGUGCGGCAGAGGGGGAUGGAAUUCCGCGUGUAGCAGUGAAAUGCGUAGAUAUGCGGAGGAACACCGAUGGCGAAGGCAAUCCCCUGGGCCUGCACUGACGCUCAUGCACGAAAGCGUGGGGAGCAAACAGG
rnacentral:rRNA from 2 species